rnacentral:rRNA from 1 species
CCUACGGGGGGCUGCAGUCGAGAAUCUUUCGCAAUGGGCGCAAGCCUGACGAAGCGACGCCGUGUGAGCGAUGAAGGCCUUCGGGUUGUAAAGCUCUUUCGCUAGGGAACAAGAGAGGUAGGAUAACACCCUGCUGAUUUGAUGGUACUUGGUAAAGAAGCACCGGCUAACUCCGUGCCAGCAGCUGCGGUAAUACGGAGGGUGCAAGCAUUGAUCGGAAUUACUGGGCGUAAAGGGCGCGUAGGCGGUUAGGAAAGUUAGAUGUGAAAUUCCGGGGCUCAACCUCGGAGCUGCAUUUAAAACUUCCUGGCUAGAGUGAAGUUAGGGUAAACGGAAUUCCACGUGUAGCGGUGAAAUGCGUAGAUAUGUGGAAGAACACCGGUGGUGAAGACGGUUUACUGGGCUUUAACUGACGCUGAGGCGCGAAAGCAAGGGGAGCAAACAGGAUUAGAUACCCUUGUAGUC